UUAGUGCACAACAGAAAAAAGACCAGCAUUGAAGAAGUGUGUAAUAGAGGAAUGUUGCACACAAAAUAAUGUUUGGGGUCAUCCAAGGAAGAUGGACAGGAUGGAGGGCAGGAAGGUGCCAAUGGCUGACAUUUGGGCGAGAGGUCCUCUCUGAAGCAAGCAUCGCUCUCCAAUCCGUCGCAGUCAAAUCCCAUGAGGGAACACCACAAGAUGCUCUCCUUCCCGAGGAAUACCUGCCUUCUCCUGCUCCCCUCUGUGGUUUAAUUAAAGCAUUUUAGAAAUUUCUGCUCAGCA